GACGAACGCUGGCGGCGUGCUUAACACAUGCAAGUCGAACGGAAAGGCCCUGCUUUUGUGGGGUGCUCGAGUGGCGAACGGGUGAGUAACACGUGAGUAACCUGCCCUUUACUUUGGGAUAACUUCAGGAAACUGGGGCUAAUACCGGAUAGGAGCUCCUGCUGCAUGGUGGUGGUUGGAAAGUUUCGGCGGUUGGGGAUGGACUCGCGGCUUAUCAGCUUGUUGGUGGGGUAGUGGCUUACCAAGGCUUUGACGGGUAGCCGGCCUGAGAGGGUGACCGGCCACAUUGGGACUGAGAUACGGCCCAGACUCCUACGGGAGGCAGCAGUGGGGAAUAUUGCACAAUGGGCGGAAGCCUGAUGCAGCAACGCCGCGUGCGGGAUGACGGCCUUCGGGUUGUAAAACGCUUUCGCCUGUGACGAAGCGUGAGUGACGGUAAUGGGUAAAGAAGCACCGGCUAACUACGUG
rnacentral:rRNA from 1 species